rnacentral:rRNA from 1 species
UACGGAGGGUGCAAACGUUGCUCGGAAUCAUUGGGCGUAAAGCGCACGUAGGCGGCCCUGCAAGUCAGAUGUGAAAUCCCUCGGCUUAACCAAGGAAGUGCAUUUGAAACUGCAAGGCUUGAAUACUGGAGAGGGUCGCAGAAUUCUCGGUGUAGAGGUGAAAUUCGUAGAUAUCGGGAGGAAUACCAGUGGCGAAGGCGGCGACCUGGUCAGAUAUUGACGCUGAGGUGCGAAAGCGUGGGGAGCAAACAGG